rnacentral:rRNA from 1 species
UACGUAGGCAGCGAGCGUUGUUCGGAGUUACUGGGCGUAAAGCGUGCGUAGGCGGUUGUCUAAGUCUGGUGUGAAAUCUCCCGGCUCAACUGGGAGGGUGCGCCGGAAACUGGAUGACUGGAGUGCCGGAGAGGUAAGCGGAAUUCCUGGUGUAGCGGUGAAAUGCGUAGAGAUCAGGAGGAACACCUGUGGUGUAGACAGGCUUACUGGACGGUGACUGACGCUGAGGCACGAAAGCGUGGGUAGCAACAGG